rnacentral:rRNA from 1 species
GACGAACGCUGGCGGCGUGCUUAACACAUGCAAGUCGAACGGAAAGGCCUGCUUUCCCUUGUGGAUUGCGGGUACUCGAGUGGCGAACGGGUGAGUAACACGUGAGUGAUCUGCCCCCAACUUGGGUAUAAGCCUGGGAAACUGGGUCUAAUUCCCGAUAGGACUGCAGGGUGGUGCCUGUGGUGGAAAACGAUUUUCUAGUGGUUGGGGAUGAGCUCGCGGCCUAUCAGCUUGUUGGUGGGGUAAUGGCCUACCAAGGCGGCGACGGGUAGCCGGCCGGCGAGGGUGGACGGCGACAUUGGGACUGGGAUACGGCCCAGACUCCUGCGGGAGGCAGCAGUGGGGAAUAUUGCACAAUGGGCGGAAGCCUGAUGCAGCGACGCCGCGUGGGGGAUGACGGCCUUCGGGUUGUAAACUCCUUUCGACCGCGAGGAAGCCACCUGGUUGGAAGGGUGGUGACGGUAGUGGUAGAAGAAGCACCGGCUAACUACGUG